rnacentral:tRNA from 1 species
UAGCCUAGUGGUUAAGGCUAUGAAUCGCUAAUCCAGAGAUGGCGGGUUCGAUUCCCGU